GGCGAUCAGAUACCGCCCUAGUUCUGACCGUAAACGAUGCCAACUCGCGAUCCGCCGGCGGAUUCAUUCGCCCUGGUGGGGAGCGUCCCGGAAACGAAAGUCUUCCGGUUCCGGGGGAAGUAUGGUUGCAAAGCUGAAACUUAAAGGAAUUGACGGAAGGGCACCACCAGGAGUGGAGCCUGCGGCUUAAUUUGACUCAACACGGGGAAACUCACCCGGCCCGGACACCGUAAGGAUUGACAGAUUGAUAGCUUUUUCAUGAUUCGGUGGAUGGUGGUGCAUGGCCGUUCUUAGUUCGUGGAGCGAUUUGUCUGGUUUAUUCCGAUAACGAGCGAGACUCUAGCCUACUAACUAGUCCAGGCAUCGGCCUCAAGUGCCUGCGACUUCUUAGAGGGAUUUUCGGUGUUCAGCCGCACGAGAUUGAGCAAUAACAGGUCUGUGAUGCCCUUAGAUGUCCGGGGCUGCACGCGCGCUACACUGGCGAAAUCAGCGUGCCUGUCCUUUCUUGAAACGAGAUUGGUAAACCAGUGAAAAUUCGCCGUGAUUGGGAUCGGAAAUUGCAAUUAUUUUCCGUGAACGAGGAAUUCCAAGUAAGUGCGAGUCAUCAACUCGCGUUGAUUACGUCCCUGCCCUUUGUA
rnacentral:rRNA from 1 species